GUCCGGGAGUUUCUGUAGGCACUUUAUUUCUCCACUUUCAGAAGCUUGGGCUGGGGCCAGCUCAGGCUGCCCGGCCCUGUUUCUAUUGCUGAUUUAACUCUGUGGCCUGAGUCUCUGAAACCCAAAUCUGUUCCCU
rnacentral:lncRNA from 1 species